AUAAAUCAUGAAUAAUUUUAAUACCUACCAUAAGUUUGACACAUUCAACUAUGAAUUACAGUAAAUGUACGGACAAAUAAAUGAAAAAUUAAAUAAUAGUAGAACAUUUAAAAUCAUUAAUACAAGCAUACGUUUCACUUUUUUAAUAUUUGUUGCUUUAAUUGAAUUAUAUACUUGGAAUGCAUACAACAAUACUCUAUUCAAGAAACAAAACACAGUUGGUGACCAACUUGUUUGCAGGGGCGUGGUAGUAAUACAAGGCAAGUAAUAGAUCACUCGGUGGUGAGAAGCAGAUGUUGCCUGACUGCCACAGAUUGUUUCUAAAAGUGAACAAAGUAUAGAGCAACCCACCCCAAAAAUGCACUUUUCAUUGAAAUUGGUAUCCUAUGACUACAUAUAAUAUAUAUUUUCAUAUAUAUAUAAUUAAGUAUAGUAAACUUGAUUGUCCAUGGUCUCCCAUGGAACUGUACAGUACUAAAAAUAGUGUUUAUGUUCGUUGUAUAAUAUAAAAUCAUUACGGUGGUUACAUUAUAUACAGGGAUAUCUCAAAAACUUGAACAUCAUAAGUCAAAUUUUUGAUCACUCAAAAGAAUGUCUUGGCCUCAGCAUUUCGAUAUAUACAUACAAUUUUUUGUCCCUGUGCUGAUUUGAGUUAUUGUGGUUUCAUUAAUAUACCGAAAUUAGGUAUACGCAUGUUUAAAAAAAAUUGUAAUGUAUACUUAUCAAAUUUUCUUUAAAUAAUAUUUAAUAUCACAUAAUGUAAUUUUAUUAAUAAUAUAACAAUAACACUUUUGAUCUAAUUUGUAUUUUGCAGAUUAACCACAGAAUUUGUUUAUCCCUGUUUGCCGUGCUAUCCUAUUACAAGAAUAAUCAAGAGUGUAUUGUAUAUAUUAGAAAGUACAUUUAAAAUAAAAUACUUUUGUAAAAUGAGUGAAGUAGUAUUAAGUAUUGCAAAAAUAGACAUGUGAAUUGCAAUUCUCUACUAUAUAUUUAUAUAUAUAUAUACCGUCAAAUGGGGUAACAUUAGCCCUUAAUGACAACAUUGGCCCAUAAGUAGGAAAAAGUUUAAUUAUGAGAUAACAGCUGAACUAUUUAACGUAAUUUCUUCAAAACUGUAUCAAACUGCAGGUAGGAGUAGUGGUCUCAAUAUGUAACGAAUUGUAUGUAAACGAUCGUUCACAACUUCAUUUAGUAAAAUUGAUAAAAACUGUUAUCAAAUAACGAAUAAAUUACAACAUUACUACUUUUGUGUCAACCAAGUAUCAUCCGACGUUAAAAAUCUUCGAAAAAAUGCCGCGAACUCAAAGAAAACGUCUUGGAUCAAGACAGUACGCAAAUUAUUCUGCGGAAAUGUAUAAUGUAUAUUCUUGAGUGAUUAAUAACUUUGAGACUGAAGUUUGUUUUUUUAUUAUUUGAUUGUAUUAGCUUUUAACUUUAAACAGUUAAAUUAAAGAGGUUUUUUGUUAUUAUUUUAUAAAUUUGUUAUAAAUUGUUUUUUUAAUACUUUAGUUUCUUUAGGAGGUUACCUAAACUCUAAAUAAUUUUAUAAUGUUGUAUAUUCUUAAGUAAUUCAUAACUUUGAGACUGAAGUUUGUUUUUUAUUUUUUUUAUUAGGUUUAAAACAUAAAUUGUUAAUUUUGUUUAUAAAAAAAAGGUUUUUUAUUAUUUUUAAUCAAAUAAAUGUUGAUAUUUUGAUUGCUUUAAUAUUUAUUGUAUACUAGUUUACUAUAACAUUGGCCCAAAUCAUAAAUAACACUGUUUACAAUGAAUUUACUGGUGUGGGACAUAGUUACCCUAAUUGCAGGUAACAUUGGCCCAAAUUUUUGAAAAAAAAUUGUAGGUUAUUCAAG